ACGCUCGACACCUACGGGAGGCAGCAGUGGGAAUAUUGCACAAUGGGGGAAACCCUGAUGCAGCGACGCCGCGUGGAGGAAGAAGGUCUUCGGAUUGUAAACUCCUGUUGUUGGGGAAAANAGGAUGGUACCCAAACAAGGAAGUGACGGCUAACUACGUGCCAGCAGCCGCGGUAAUCUGAGCCGGGCUGGCAAGGC
rnacentral:rRNA from 1 species